rnacentral:rRNA from 1 species
UACGGGGGGGGCAAGCGUUGUUCGGAAUUACUGGGCGUAAAGGGCUCGUAGGUGGCCAACUAAGUCAGACGUGAAAUCCCUCGGCUUAACCGGGGAACUGCGUCUGAUACUGGAUGGCUUGAGUUUGGGAGAGGGAUGCGGAAUUCCAGGUGUAGCGGUGAAAUGCGCAGAUAUCAGGAGGAACACCGGUGGCGAAGGCGGAUCUCUGGGCCUUACCUGACGCUCAGGCGCGAAAGCUAGGGGAGCGAACAGG